UACGUAGGGGGCAAGCGUUGUCCGGAAUUACUGGGCGUAAAGCGUGCGUAGGCGGUUUGUUAAGUCUGUCGUGAAAGCCCCGGGCUCAACCUGGGAAUGGCGAUGGAUACUGGCGAGCUAGAGUACGGUAGAGGAGAGUGGAAUUCCCGGUGUAGCAGUGAAAUGCGUAGAGAUCGGGAGGAACAUCAGUUGCGAAGGCGGCUCUCUGGACCAGUACUGACGCUGAGGCACGAAAGCGUGGGGAGCAAACAGG
rnacentral:rRNA from 1 species